AGCACGGGAGUAGCAAUACAACUGGUGGCGACCGGCGCACGGUGAGUAACGCGUAUGCAACCUACCUAUCAGAGGGGAAUAACCCGGCGAAAGUCGGACUAAUACCGACAUAAAACAGGGGCACCGCAUGGUGAUAUUUGUUAAAGAGAUUCGCUGAUAGAUGGGCAUGCGUUCCAUUAGGUAGUUGGUGAGGUAACGGCUCACCAAGCCGACGAUGGAUAGGGGAACUGAGAGGUUGGUCCCCCACACUGGUACUGAGACACGGACCAGACUCCUACGGGAGGCAGCAGUGAGGAAUAUUGGUCAAUGGGCGGGAGCCUGAACCAGCCAAGUCCGCGUGAAGGAAGAAGGAUCUAUGGUUCGUAAACUUUCUUUUGCAGGGGAAUAAAGUGCAGGACGUGUCCUGUUUUGUAUGUACCCCGAGAAUAAGGAUCGGCUAACUCCGUGCCAGCCGCCGC
rnacentral:rRNA from 1 species